AUGCUGGAACGCGUCCUCAUCCGUUGUAGCUCAUCGUCUUUCUCCUCACCGGUGUUCCUGGUGAAGAAGUAUGAGGGUACUUGGCGAUUUUGCGUCGACAAUCUGGGACUCAAUAGCGUCACCUUCAAGGACAAGUUCUCCAUCCCCGUCAUCGACGAUCUUUUGGCCGAGCAGAAGGGUGCUCGCUUCUUCAUGAAGCUAGAUCUCCGCUUCGGCUACCAUCAAGUACGCAUGGCUCCAAGGUAUAUCCACAAGACAACGUUCCGCACGCAUGAAAGCCUCUUCGAGUUCAUGGUGAUGGCAUUCGGUCUAACCAAUGCCCCCUCGAUAUUCCAAGCUUUGAUGAACGAUGUGCCUCGUUCCUUCUUACGCCGAUUUGUGCUCGUAUUUUUUGAUGACAUUUUCAUCUGCAACACCUCCUGGUAG
rnacentral:rRNA from 1 species